UUUAUGGAGAGUUUGAUCCUGGCUCAGGAUGAACGCUGGCGGCGUGCCUAAUACAUGCAAGUCGAGCGAACGGAUGAGAAGCUUGCUUCUCUGAUGUUAGCGGCGGACGGGGGAGUAACACGUGGAUAACCUACCUAUAAGACUGGGAUAACUUCGGGAAACCGGAGCUAAUACCGGAUAAUAUUUUGAACCGCAUGGUUCA
rnacentral:rRNA from 1 species